rnacentral:tRNA from 1 species
GGGAGCGUUUGUACGACUGGUGUCGGCCCCGGUCUUCAAAAUCGGUGGGCGGCUGCGCAAGCAGCCGCUGGUGGGUUCGAUUCCCAUACGCUCCCGCCA